rnacentral:rRNA from 1 species
AACGUAGGAGACAAACGUUAUCCGGAGUUACUGGGCGUAAAGGGCGUGUAGGUGGUUACGUAAGUCUGGCGUGAAAUAUCUCGGCUUAACCGAGGCAGGUCGUCGGAUACUGCGAGACUAGAGGACGGUAGAGGCGUGUGGAAUUCCGCGUGUAGCAGUGAAAUGCGUAGAUAUGCGGAGGAACACCGAUGGCGAAGGCAAUCCCCUGGGCCUGCACUGACGCUCAUGCACGAAAGCGUGGGGAGCAAACAGG